UUUGAGGGCAUGGUCGACAAGGUGGACGUGGAGGUCAUGAUUGCCAUCGGCGGCGGCUUAUUGAUCGCCUCGUUUUUCCUCAUGUGCUGCUUCCUCUGUCUCUACUGCAAGCUGGCCAGCGCCUUGAGGAAACUAUGACGAUCAGCGGCAUCCACCGCAGAGGCAGGCGGCUGGGUGUGGAAGCUGAGAGGCUGCCUCCCCCCAAGGACAGAUGGACGGAGCCCGGAGCGCGCUGCUACAGACUGUCCUGAGAGGUGGGCCCCCGCGUCCCCCCACGGGCUGUCCUGUGAAGUACAGACGUCCAUGCCGA